rnacentral:lncRNA from 1 species
UUGGCUGAGUCUCACUCUCACGUGGUGGUUAACGUGAAGUGCACUCAAAAAGCCCACCUCAGGAGAUACCCUACGCGCCUCUACGAUCGAGGUGAGAAUAUAAAGGAGUUUACCGUGCCCCUCUAAUAGGCUGGUCCACGGAACCCCCCACCACUGCAGUAGCUAAUCUUUAAUCCACCAAUUGAUCAAAUCUCAAUGGCAUAGCAUGGCAAUUACAUUACUAACCAAUUUAUCAAGGCAAAACAGAUAGUUCAUAUUUUUCAACACAAGUAUAAAUUCAACCAAUCA